ACUCAAAUGAAUUGACGGGGGCCCGCACAAGCGGUGGAGCAUGUGGUUUAAUUCGACGCAACGCGCAAAACCUUACCUGGGUUAAAUCCACAGGAAGCCGGAUGAAAGUCUGGUGUGCCCUUCGGGGAACCUGUGAGAAGGUGCUGCAUGGCUGUCGUCAGCUCGUGUCGUGAGAUGUUGGGUUAAGUCCCGCAACGAGCGCAACCCUUGUCGUCAGUUGCCAGCAUUCAGUUGGGAACUCUGGCGAGACUGCCGGCCUAAACCGGAGGAAGGUGGGGAUGACGUCAAGUCCUCAUGGCCCUUAUGCCCAGGGCUACACACGUGCUACAAUGGCUGGUACAAUGAGCUGCAAGUCCGCGAGGCCAAGCUAAUCUCAAAAAACCAGUCUCAGUUCGGAUAGAAGUCUGCAACUCGACUUCUUGAAGCCGGAAUCGCUAGUAAUCGGAGAUCAGCACGCUCCGGUGAAUACGUUCCCGGGCCUUGUACACACCGCCCGU
rnacentral:rRNA from 1 species